rnacentral:rRNA from 1 species
UACGGGGGGGGCAAGCGUUGUUCGGAAUUACUGGGCGUAAAGGGCUCGUAGGUGGCCAACUAAGUCAUACGUGAAAUCCCUCGGCUUAACCGGGGAACUGCGCCUGAUACUGGUUGGCUUGAGUUUGGGAGAGGGACGCGGAAUUCCAGGUGUAGCGGUGAAAUGCGUAGAUAUCUGGAGGAACACCGGUGGCGAAGGCGGCGUCCUGGACCAAUACUUACACUGAGGAGCGAAAGCCAGGGGAGCAAACGGG